rnacentral:lncRNA from 1 species
GAGGAAUGGGAGAGGGAGGAGGACGCCAGGGGCACAGGGACAGCCUCCGGGGCGGGGCGCGGCGCCAGCCUAGCCCGAGGAUGGAGGCUGAGGCCGCCUGUUGAGUCACAGGUUUCCCUGUGAUGCUCAUUUUAACCAGAUGGCACUUGCUUAGCAGUUUGGAGGAGAAGACCUGUUCCCCUGCAGGCCUUCCAUGAUUAGACCUCAACUCAUGAGAACUCUUGCCUUGCUCACAAGUGGGAGUAAAUGCUCAUAGCUCUAGAAAUCUCCCAGGAACCAGACAUCACGGAAACUAGAAAGGCUAAGGGAGUCCAAUCUUCCUCUAAAUUGGCCAACAGUAGAGUGGUGGAAAGAGAACAAGCUGCAAACCAGACAGACCCAAGCUUGAAUCUCACCUCUGCCAAGCUACCAGGAGCUCAACAAACUACAGACCACGGGCCAAAUCUGACCCACCGCUGCUUUUGUAAAUAAAACUUUAUUGGAAAAAA